UACGAAGGGGGCUAGCGUUGCUCGGAAUCACUGGGCGUAAAGCGUGCGCAGGCGGUCUGCUAAGAGAGAUGUGAAAUCCCCGGGCUUAACCUGGGAACUGCGUUUCUAACUGGCAGGCUUGAGUGUGGCAGAGGGGGGUGGAAUUCCACGUGUAGCAGUGAAAUGCGUAGAGAUGUGGAGGAACACCGAUGGCGAAGGCAGCCCCCUGGGCUAACACUGACGCUCAUGCACGAAAGCGUGGGGAGCAAACAGG
rnacentral:rRNA from 1 species